rnacentral:rRNA from 1 species
UACGUAGGGGGCAAGCGUUGUCCGGAUUUAUUGGGCGUAAAGAGCGUGUAGGCGGCUUUGCAGGUCCGCUGUGAAAACUCGAGGCUCAACCUCGAGCUGUCGGUGGAAACCGUAAAGCUAGAGUCCGGAAGAGGAGAGUGGAAUUCCCGGUGUAGCGGUGAAAUGCGCAGAUAUCGGGAGGAACACCUGUGGCGAAAGCGGCGCACUGGACCACAACUGACGCUGAGGCGCGAAAGCUAGGGGAGCAAACAGG